ACCGUAGGAGCUAUUGUGAAGUGGAACGGAUCGGUUCAUUGGUUAAAUCCAUGUCAACCGCUCAUGCCGCUGUCAGAGUGAAACGAUGCGCCAAAUCCACACCAACCCGCGAUGGUCGUGACAGCAAACGCAUCGUCCCCGGGGAGAAUCCUGCCAGACGGAGUCUGGGCUUUUCCAAGUCCUACAAACCUCAAUGUUUGGGGUAUUCCUCGUCCUGACGUCCCUCACCUCAAAUGGCGUGCCUUUUGGAACUAUAAGGGAGAAUCUCAACUUUUUUGUAUAAUACCUUUUAGAAAACACAUUCUACUUAAUCAAAAUCACCAUGUACUAACCCCAUCUCAAGCUUCUUCUUGGCAUACAUAUUUUUUCACUUGCCUUAGACUAUUUUCCCCUUAUGUGUUCAAAUUUAACAACUUUGUAGCGCUUUUUUUGUGUUAAUACAUCUCACCUCUUGCCUUUCACUAAAUCAUGUAAUUAGUCCUUAAUUAAAGCCGUAACUAACUUAACUAUCUUAUCAUUAAUAAAGUUUCUAUAUGUUAUGCUUCUAUGUCCUUCAGUAUUUUGUCACUUACCAUCUUUGCUUUUUCAUUUCCAUACCAGCAUCACCCCCUAACUUUUUACACUUUGAUUUCAUUCAUCCUCUUUUAUAAUAAGUUAAACAAAUACAGAUAAUAACUGUCACCAACAUAAUUAUGCCUAUAAUGAAGUUAUAUUUUUCCCCCAGUCCCAACAUGUAACUCAGCCAGCUACUGAAGGAUCAGAGAGAAGGAAAGUUGAAACUGUGGUGCCAGUGGUUUGGUCUGCACACUCAGUUCAGGCUGCUGUCUCUAGUCUGGAGGAUAGGCCUCAGCCACAGUUUCAAACACUGCCACUGCCACAGACACCUCCACCUCAGGUGCCACUGCCACCACUUCAGCCACAACUACAGCCUGUAGUUGGUCAUGGUGCAUCAACUACUGGAAGCAAAAGAGUGCCUAAAAUAGAAAAGGUCAUCAUAACAACGGCACACAGCAGGAGAAGUCGGAUUGUAAAAGGAUCCUUAGAGCUUGUUCUGGAACAUAUUGUUCAAGGACGUCUCAACAGACUUCCACAUGCCUUUAUGUCUGUCCCGGGCAUGUCUGAUGCAGUGGUGCGAGAAGUGCUUAAUGUUGUGAAAAAGGAGUGCAAGAAGCUAACAAGCCUGAAAUUCAAGUCAGUUCUCCGAAAGAAUAGCAUCAACGAUUUAAAGGACUUUAAAAUGAUGGAUGUUGUUGAAGAGUGGAGGAGGAACGCACCAACCUUUCUUAAGUUUUUAGAGUCUGCAAGUUCAGUCUCCACGGAGGUCACUGAUUCAGGAACACGGCCUCUGUCUCACAGCAAGACAAAUAAAUUCAAAUUACCAAUGGCUGGGUCGAUGCUCCUACAAGCACGCUGCCAGUCAAUGACGGCACAUAUGUAUCGGAAUGCUCUGGUUAUGUGUCGUGGAGGGGCCAAAAGACGUUGUUUUCAACGGUUAAAUCGAUUGGGUAUCUGUAUAUCUGAUGGAAGGGCUCUUGCAAAGCUGAAAGAAAUUGCACAAGCAUGGGACAGCAAGUUCCUCAAAUGGAAAGAUGAUGUAUGCAGACAGUAUACAUCAUCAAGCCCUGCCUCUGGAGGAGCAGAUGGAGAGUUUACGCCAGAGCUGCUAAACUCGGAUGAAUGCCAGGACAACACUGAAAGCAGCACGACACCUCCAGAGCAUGAUCCAUCCAUUUGGAUAGAAUCUGAUGUCAUGACACCAUGCGAGCUGUUGUGUUCAGAGGAAGAAGAAGAGCCCAGUGAGGAAAAUAAUGCAGCAGGUACCUCCACACCUCUUCUGCUCAGUGGAAAA
ensembl:lncRNA